rnacentral:rRNA from 1 species
UACGUAGGGACCAAGCGUUGUUCGGAUUACUGGGCGUAAAGGGCGCGUAGGCGGCGUGUUAAGUCACUUGUGAAAUCUCUAAGCUUAACUUAGAACGGUCAAGUGAUACUGAUGUGCUAGAGUGCAGAAGGGGCAACCGGAAUCUUGGUGUAGCGGUGAAAUGCGUAGAUAUCAAGAGGAACACCUGAGGUGAAGACGGGUUGCUGGGCUGACACUGACGCUGAGGCGCGAAAGCUAGGGUAGCAAACGGG